rnacentral:rRNA from 1 species
GGCGAACGCUGGCGGCGUGCCUAAUACAUGCAAGUCGAAGAUAGUGGCGAACGGGUGAGUAAUACGUGGGUAACCUGCCCUCCUUUUUGGGAUAAGCCUUGGAAACGGGGUCUAAUACCGAAUAAAGGGGGAUGGGCUCGCGUCCGAUCAGCUUGUUGGUGGGGUGAUGGCCUACCAAGGCGGUGACGGGUAGCCGGCCUGAGAGGGUGACCGGCCACACUGAGACUGAGACACGGUCCAGAGUCCUACGGGAGGCAGUAGUGGGGAAUAUUGGACAAUGGGCGAAAGCCUGAUCCAGCCAUGCCGCGGGUGUGAAGAAGGUCUUCGGAUUGUAAAUCACUUUAAGUUGGGAGGCGUUACCAACAGAAUAAGCACCGGCUAACUACGUGCCAGCAGCCGCGGUAAUAC